rnacentral:lncRNA from 1 species
GCUCUGUGAAGUACCAUUAGCCGCGGGAAUAUCAGUAUGGUGACUCCUUACCCUGGGGAAGUGUACUUAGGCCACGGCUAGGUGAAUGAGAACGUGGCCAUGGACAAGAAUUCCAAGUAGUGGCACUUCUGUAGACGACGCGGCCCUUUUGGGGUUACUACAGCCCAGGAAACUCACAUGCGACACGGCGCCAGCUGAAGUCCAUCUAGACCCCCGCAGACCCAAGGUCACAAGUUGAGAACCCCCUGCCGUGGACAUUCUUCUGCACCUAGUGGUGAAGCAGGUGGAGCUGCACCUUGCUCCGCCCAUUUGGAGACUGGUUCUGCACAUAUGAGUGUGCCCUGCAGCGAUCCUGCAAUCCUUCGUGACUAACAAGGACUUUCUGUGAAAACAGAUUUAUCUUUUCUUCUCUACCUUUAAGGUUUCUUGCUGUUGAGAAUAGUUAAGGGACGAGGAAUUCUUAUUGCCCCCAUUUUACAGGCAAAGAAACUAAUGCUGACCCCAACCUUACCGACCACUUGGAGGUCCCUAAAAACACAUGACCUUUGUGUUUCUCGGCUGUUAGUGGAAUCCUUUCUGUCUGCUCAUGAACUCAUCUUCAAACGCAUUCCAGGCCUUCAGAACUCUUCCGUGAGCGCAAGUCACUGGUAUGGGCCACUGUUAACUGCCGGUUAUCACCUAGAUUUUCUUAACUAUGCUUUGCCCUCUGAGGCCGUGAGCUCUUGAAUCUUCACCUUAGUCUGUAGGAGGAAAAGUUGUUUGAGAUGAUAUUUGAAUCCUUCAUUUUAGGCCAAAUUCAGAACAUAGCAAAAGGUUCUGGCUAACAUGCAGAACAGUAUGUCUGGACUCCCACUACUGUUGGUCUGCAAAGUUGAAGGCUACUCUAGGCAAAUAUGUCACCUUUAAUGUAUCUCCUUAGGAGGAGUCUUUCACCUUAUUCAUGCUCCUCAGCACCCACACCAAAAGAUUCAUGAAGUAAAUGUUACCUAGUCUCUGCUUUACCCCAUUACCCCCGGCCUGAGGACCUUUGAACCAUUUUAAAUGCUCUACCUGCCAGCCUGGCCAUCUGUGCAUUGCUUGCUCCAUCCACCCUUCUGACUCAGCUGAAAUACCACCUUCCCAAAGAAGUCUAAGUGACCACCUCAUCUAAAUUGGGUUUCCUGCCCACCCCUCCUCUAUCACUUUGCGCAUGGUUGUAUUUCUAUCACAGAACUUCCGUCCAUCAUUCGUGUCCUUCGUUUUGUACUUGUUUAUCAUAUAUCCUCUGUAGAACAGAACAUUCUGAGAAGACGGACUUUGGGUGUCUUUCUACAAAAUCCUCCAUUCCUAAAACUGCUUUACCUGUAGAUGGUCCUCAACAAAUAUCUAAAACAUUUUAAAUAACAAAUAGAUGUCAUGCUUUAACCCUACACUCCACCUUCGGCCAUACAGAAUUUUAGUCCCUGCGUCCAUGCUCUUACCUCCGUGGUUUUGUACACUCUGUACCGUUCUAACUCUCAGAUAUUCUUCAAGACUUCAUUCUGUUACUUGUUACUCUGCAACUCUAAACCCCACUCUUAGUUGAGUUGGCUGCUCUUCGGUGCUCACAAUUACCUGUAACCUCUCUGUCAUAACCAUCUCACUCUAUUCAUUUGACUGUCUCACUCAAACGACGUGUCCCUUGAUGGCAGAGACUGUUGCUCAUAACAUGGACAGUGCAUUGUUCAAUUACUGUUUUGGGGUGACAAAGUCUGUCUGUGCCUCUUUGCGUUCUCUUUCCUUCUCUCUUUUCUCCAUGUUGUACUUGUCUUUCCAUUUCUGCAACCCUUUUAAUCCUUUCCUUAGGUUGUUAUUCAUGCCUAGUGAUUCUCAUGGACAUUCCGAAAUCCCGGUUCUUAGGGCUGAAGACUAUGCUGAUCUUUGAAAUAAUAUGAGUAUCGCAUUCUGAUGAUACUUCAUUUGCAUAAUUAUUGAUAAUAGUGCCAGGUACAAUGCUAAGUGCUUUGCAGACUUUAUC